AUGUUCAGGGCUCUGCCCCACCAGACCCAGCUCCUCCAGGCUGCUUGGCAGGGAGACCUCCACACCCUGCAGCACCUUCUGGCCCAGACUGACCUAGUGGACGUGAACACUCAGAACCGCGACGGGCUGACCCCUCUAAUGCUGGCUGUGAGGGACGUCGACUUGUUUGAGGAGCUGGACGUCCGGUUGCCAUGGGAAUACAGACCUGUGGAGGUGGUCAGGGAACUGCUGGCUCUCUCAGCUGACCUGGGGGUGUGUGACGUCAACGGCUGUUCUGCUCUUCACCAUGCUGCACAGAUAGAGAGCCCCCUGAAAGACGAACUCAUCCACAUGAUGGUUGAGUCCCUCAGACAGCCAGCGCCCACGCCCCUGGACCUGCAGUGCUUCCACCCUGAUGAGCUGAGAGUAAACUCCCCCAGCCCCUCUCCCUCUCUAACCGAUGAGCUGAGAGCAACAAACUCCCCAAGCUCCUCUCCCUAUCUGACCCAAAAUGUCCUCAUUCAGACUGCUGCCAGCACAGAGGAUUUGCUGGAGUCUCCAGAGUGCGUUCCUUUAUCCGACCAUCAUAAAGCCAUCAAUCAAGAUAAGGGGCUCUCCCUCUCCUUCCAGAGCGCCAUGGAUACCCUGAUGGACAUGAGGCAAGCCUACCAAGAUCUGGGGAAGGGUAGCAGUCAAGGUUCAUCUCUACCCAGUCUGUGGUUCAGAGCCAGACACUUAGACAAACUGGAUCCUACACCAGGGCUAUUGAAGACCACAGGAAGCUCAUCCUGCCUGCCUGUUCCCCCCAGGCUCAGAUGUGAGGCUGUUGCCCCCAGCCCAGUGGCCCCUCACCCAGCCCAGCUGAGCCAAUCUGCCCCCGGUCUAUUGGAGCCUCUCCUGGACUCUCUGGUCCAGGCCCGAGUUCACAUCCAGAACAGUCAGUAAUAUAAUAAUAUGUCUGCUAAAGGCUUAGAGGACAGUAUAAAGGUCAGCAUGUUGUUGAUUCAUUUGUUUAGGUAAAGGUCAUGCUCAUGAAUGUGUUUAGAGAAGUACUCUUUGUUGAGGAAAUUAGUUAUGUAAUUUUGUGUUUGUAAAGCUUGGCAUGUUCUUGUCUUGCAGGGCUUGGAUGUGUUGAAACGGAGAAAAAAAGCAGUUGUCGAAAGGUAGGUCAACUCAAAUAAAUCAUGUUUUAUUCGUACAUCACAUUUUCAUACAGCUUCCUUAGUUUGUAAAAACCACCUGUAAUCUGCUAUUUAUUCACAGUUGCCUUUUCCAAUCAUCUCUAUCCAGGGCUCCUUCCCUGCCCUGCUUCCAGGCCCUAUCAGGACCCCCAAGCUGUUAGCCCCUCUGGAGGGGAGGCAUAGAAACGAAGGAGUGCUGCCCGGCCUGAAGCACCCUUCUCCCCUAAAGC
rnacentral:lncRNA from 13 species